CGGGUGAGUAAUGUCUGGGAAACUGCCUGAUGGAGGGGGAUAACUACUGGAAACGGUAGCUAAUACCGCAUAACGUCGCAAGACCAAAGAGGGGGACCUUCGGGCCUCUUGCCAUCGGAUGUGCCCAGAUGGGAUUAGCUAGUAGGUGAGGUAACGGCUCACCUAGGCGACGAUCCCUAGCUGGUCUGAGAGGAUGACCAGCCACACUGGAACUGAGACACGGUCCAG
rnacentral:rRNA from 1 species